CAAAGGCACACGUCCUCUGACAGUGGAGGUACAGCGUAGUUGUCAUCACCAAACCAGCCUCUAGCUCUGCUGUAUAAGGUUUUACAUGAAAGUUGCUGUCCUAUAAUUACUAGAGCAACUGCAGGUAUUUCCAGAUGAGACAGAUUAUCUAGAACCACUACAGUCUGGGCUUAAAUGCAGUUUCAGAACCAAAUCAGCCUUGGUCACCCUGAUGGAUGACCUUUAUCAUGAGAGAGAAAGAGGAAAAUCCCAGCUAUGUGGAAUGCUCUUUCAAUAGAGAUUCAGCAGGCAACUUCUAUAUUGACUUUUAAAUAUUUGCUGAAAAUAUUUCUUUGCCACCAGGCUUAUGGAGAGAAGAUAAAGACUUUCUGCAAUAGUUGGUUGGUGACCUGUUUUAAUUUUUUAUUUGUUUUUAUGUGUCUAUA